GAGAGGGUAGAGCACGAGAGGAAAGUCCGGGCAGCAUAGGACACGCUACUGGUGAAAAUGCCAGCUAUUGGUGACAGUAGGAUAUGGGAGAAGAGAAUGACCGCCUCGCUUCGGUGAGGUAAGGGUGAGAAGGUGGUGUAAGAGACCACCAGCCGGCGGGUGAUCGUCGGGCUGUUCCAUCUAGCGGCUGCAAGUUCGCGUAUACCAUCGGUUGAGGGUUGUCCGCCCAAAACUCCUUGCGGGUUACGAUGGAGGGUGGAAUGCUUGAGCUGUCAGGUAACUGGCAGACUAGAUAAAUGACAGACGCCCUUUCUUUGAAGGGGUACAGAACCCGGCUUAUAGGGACAC
rnacentral:RNase_P_RNA from 1 species